rnacentral:rRNA from 1 species
AUUGAACGCUGGCGGCAUGCCUUACACAUGCAAGUCGAACGGCAGCACGGGAGCAAUCCUGGUGGCGAGUGGCGAACGGGUGAGUAACACGUGGGUGACCUGCCCUCAGCUCUGGGAUAAGCCUGGGAAACUGGGUCUAAUACCGGAUAUGACUCCAUGACGCAUGUUGUGGGGUGGAAAGCCUUGUGCGGCUGAGGAUGGGCCCGCGGCCAUCAGCUUGUUGGUGGGUGAUGGCCUACCAAGGCGACGACGGGUAGCCGGCCUGAGAGGGCGACCGGCCACACUGGGACUGAGACACGGCCCAGACUCCUACGGAGGCAGCAGUGGGAAUCUUGCGCAAUGGGCGAAAGCCGACGCAGCGACGCCGCGUGAGGGAUGACGGCCU